rnacentral:lncRNA from 1 species
AUAAAAUAAAAUCUAAAUAUUAGAUGAAAAGCGUCUAUAAUACUGAUUCUUAGGCACAAUGCAAACAGCCAACGUCAAUGUUCAAUAUACAUUUGACAUAUAUUUACGUUUAAUAAUAACAAUCAGAAUAAACUGUUCUGUUAUUCAGUGCAUUAAUAUAGACUGUGCAUCGUAUAGAUGUGUAAUCAUCAGCAUUUUAUACCAGCUUUUAUAACAUUUUAUAAUCGUGUGUUGUUUUUUUGUGUGUUUACAGAGUCUGAAGACACAAACCCUGAGACAGCAUCCGCUGAAGAGGAACCUGCUGGAGAAGAAGCUGGAGCAGAAGCUGGAGCAGAAGCAGGAGCAGAAGCAAAUAAAAAAAUCCUAAUAAAAUUACAAUAGCACAACAAAAAUAAAAUGAAAACUGAACAAAUGAAAGUAAAAAAACAAAGCGAUGCAGUGUUUAAGAAGCACUUGCUGUGGAUGCACAGUCAGACUGGACCUGGAGGACUUAUGUUUAUGUUAUGUUUAAACUUGUGUUUAGCAUCCGCUGAAGAGGAACCUGCUGGAGAAGAAGCUGGAGCAGAAGCUAAAGGACAGUCACUUAUUACUUAAAUUAUAUAAAGCACAGAAAACAAAUGUAAUUUAGAUUUAUAACACUAUACUUUGUGUUCUUUUACCUUUGCAUGAAAUUACAGAAAGAAAAAAAAAGAACAGCGAAUAUGACUCUAUUUUGGAAAGUCAUUGAAACACUAUCGCAGUUUUGUUUUCCUUUUGCAAAAACGAUAUUAGUUGUAGUUUCCGUUCAUCGCUACAGAAGUCUACCCAACUGUGACUGUUUCUGAGAAGAGUGCUUUAUGAUGCUUUUCUAUUUCUAUUGAAAUCACUCGAGCAUCAAAUCCUCGUUUUCUGAGUCACUUCCGGUGGAGAAAAGAAUAAAACCACUGACUUUUAAGGCUUUAAGGUUUAGAAACAGAGCUCAGAUCAGCUCCGGUGUCCAGUGAAAUGAGUUUGUUUGUUUGUUUGCAUGCGUGUCGUCUGCAGGGGAAGCAGAUGCAGACGCAGAUACUGAAGCAGGUGCGUUUCUCUGGAGCUGAAGCAAUGUCAAAUGUGAACAUGGUCAAUAUAACACUUAUUCCAGGAACAACGGAAACUUAGAUCAGCGUUUGCUUUAAUCCAGCAUGCUUUAGAAAAUAAACACUGAAACGAAGAGUGUUCAUAUUUCACAUUAUUUACGUUGGGCGAAUCUUAUGAAACCUGUGGUCACAUCAUCCUAUACUCAAAAGAAAAAAAUUGGAUAUUUUAUUUAACAUAAAAAAAAUAGGCAUGUUAAAUUUUUUUAUAUACUUUUGCUGUAUUUAUAUUUUAUAUUUACAUUAUUUUUGUGAAGCAUUAAUCACAUUUUCCC